rnacentral:lncRNA from 1 species
UAAUCCAAUCAUCCCAUGAUACAAAUGCCAAUAAAUUUGUCUCCUUUCCAGUGAAGAACAAUUCAGUGACACAUCCAGCUGCUGCUUCUGGAGAUCAUAGCACAGAUCAGGACCACUGUUCUUCAGAUACAGGUUCUCCAGGCAUUAACAGUUACUGAGCUGAGUCCUCUGUUGGGCCCCAGCCCUAUCCUCACAUAUGCACAGCCGGGGAGGAAGAGAGACCUGUCCAUGAGGAACUAUCACACAGACUGGCAUGUGCUACGUUGGGGGAUGCACAGCCCAGCCCCACUCUGGGCAGCAGUGGAGGGCAGAUGUCAGGGAAACUAUCUAAUGGCUGCCUGCAUUCCUUGGCUUGUGGACCAGUACUCCAUCCUCAAAGCACAGCACUCCAGUCUCUGCUUCCAUCAUUCCACUGCUGUCUUCCCUGACUCCUCCUGCCUCCCUCUCUCCUGUCGGAAUCAUUGUGAUUAUAUCACCACACCUCAGAUAAUCCAGGAUAGUCUUCUCAUCUCAAGAUCCUUAACCACAUCUGCAAAGUCUCUUUUGCCAUAUAAGGUAACAUUCACAGGUUCUGGGAAUUAGGAUGUGGACAUCUUGGGGGCCAUUAUUCAGCCUACCACGAGGGGAGUGGCAUAUUAUCUCACAGUCUUUAAAAUGCCCUCCAAUUAUUACCAGGCUGAAGAUAAGGAAUUGGAGGCUCAUAGAAGUUAAAUGAUUUGCCUUAGACAGGCAGACAGAUAGAUAAAUGAUAAAUGUUUUCUAAAAUAGACAAAAGAAUACAAAGAAAAAUGCAACAAAGCACUCAAAACCUCACCACCCAGAAAUGAUCAGUAUUACAUUUUGUAACCAUAUACAUAAUACAUAAAAUUGAG